GCACCACAAGAGGUGGGACCUGCGGUUCAAUUGGAUUCAGCGCCGGAAAACUCACCAGGGGCGACAGUUGGAUGAAAGCCAGGUUGACGACCUUGCCCGACUAGCUGAGAGGUGGUGCAUGGCCAUCGUCAGCUCGUACCGUGAGGCGUCCUGUCAAGUCAGGCAACGAGCGAGAUCCUCGCCCUUAGUUGCCAUCGGUGGAAAAGCCGGGCACUCUAGGGGGACCGCUGGCGCUAAGUCAGAGGAAGGAGAGGGCGACGGUAGGUCAGUAUGCCCCGAAUCCCCUGGGCUACACGCGGGUCACAAUGCGCAGGACAAUGAGAUGCAACCCCGUGAGGGGAAGCCAAACCCAUAAACCUGCGCUCGGUUCGGAUCGAGGGCUGUAACCCGCCCUCGUGAAGCUGGAAUCUCUAGUAAUCGCGUGCCAACACCGCGCGGUGAAUGCGUCCCUGCUCCUUGCACACACCGCCCGUCAAGCCACUCGAGUGGGGUUUGGAUGAGGUCAGCUCAAGUUGGGUUGCUCGAAUCCGAGUUCUGCAAGAGGGGCU
rnacentral:rRNA from 1 species